UACGUAGGGUGCAAGCGUUAAUCGGAAUUACUGGGCGUAAAGCGUGCGCAGGCGGUUUUGUAAGUUUGUCGUGAAAGCCCCGGGCUCAACCUAGGAAUGGCGAUGAAGACUGCAAGGCUUGAAUCUGGCAGAGGGGGGUAGAAUUCCACGUGUAGCAGUGAAAUGCGUAGAGAUGUGGAGGAACACCGAUGGCGAAGGCAGCCCCCUGGGUCAAGAUUGACGCUCAUGCACGAAAGCGUGGGGAGCAAACAGG
rnacentral:rRNA from 1 species